rnacentral:rRNA from 1 species
GCAGUCGAACGAUGAUGCCCAGCUUGCUGGGUGGAUUAGUGGCGAACGGGUGAGUAAUACGUGAGUAACCUGCCCUUGACUCUGGGAUAAGCCUGGGAAACUGGGUCUAAUACUGGAUACUACUUCUCACCGCAUGGUGGGUGGUGGAAAGGGUUUUACUGGUUUUGGAUGGGCUCACGGCCUAUCAGCUUGUUGGUGGGGUAAUGGCUCACCAAGGCGACGACGGGUAGCCGGCCUGAGAGGGUGACCGGCCACACUGGGACUGAGACACGGCCCAGACUCCUACGGGAGGCAGCAGUGGGGAAUAUUGCACAAUGGGCGGAAGCCUGAUGCAGCGACGCCGCGUGAGGGAUGACGGCCUUCGGGUUGUAAACCUCUUUCAGUAGGGAAGAAGCGAGAGUGACGGUACCUGCAGAAGAAGCGCCGGCUAACUACGUGCCAGCAGCCGCGGUAAUACGUAGGGCGCAAGCGUUGUCCGGAAUUAUUGGGCGUAAAGAGCUCGUAGGCGGUUUGUCGCGUCUGCUGUGAAAGCCCGGGGCUCAACCCCGGGUCUGCAGUGGGUACGGGCAGACUAGAGUGCAGUAGGGGAGACUGGAAUUCCUGGUGUAG